AUUGAACGCUGGCGGCAUGCCUUACACAUGCAAGUCGAACGGUAACGCGGGGCAACCUGGCGACGAGUGGCGAACGGGUGAGUAACGCAUCGGAACGUGCCCAGUAGUGGGGGAUAGCCCGGCGAAAGCCGGAUUAAUACCGCAUACGACCUACGGGAGAAAGGGGGGGAUCGCAAGACCUCUCGCGAUUGGAGCGACCGAUGUCAGAUUAGGUAGUUGGUGGGGUAAAGGCCUACCAAGCCGACGAUCUGUAGCUGGUCUGAGAGGACGACCAGCCACACUGGGACUGAGACACGGCCCAGACUCCUACGGGAGGCAGCAGUGGGGAAUUUUGGACAAUGGGCGAAAGCCUGAUCCAGCCAUGCCGCGUGCGGGAAGAAGGCCUUCGGGUUGUAAACCGCUUUUGUCAGGGAAGAAAUCUUCUGGGUUAAUACCUCGGGAGGAUGACGGUACCUGAAGAAUAAGCACCGGCUAACUACGUGCCAGCCGCCGCAGUAAUAC
rnacentral:rRNA from 1 species